CCCAAAUGAAUGUUUGUUGGUUAUUAUUUUUUUGAAACAAGGGUUAUCAUCUAAGUAUUGCAUCAACUAUUUGACUUUUCGAGCACUUUGCUUUUAUUGAACUUUGGUUUUCAUUCUUUUUGCUCAUCAUCACUUUGUGAUUUUUUGUUCUUUUUGUUUGUUUUUCUUUUUUUUUUCACUCUUCUUGAUGAAUUCUCUUCGUUUGAUCAUUGAGUGCUCUUUAUUUGCAUCAUGAGUCGACUCCUACCUGAUCACAACCCUUGC
rnacentral:lncRNA from 1 species